GGCUGUGAGGACAACUUGUGUGGGACAUCUGUCACCCUAUCCAUUGCCAAGAUAUCUGACUGGCUGUGCAGCAUCUGACCCUUCCUCCCUCACUGAUCCAUGUAUGUUCUUCCUGAUGAUACACCCUGUAUUGAAAACCUUCUGUCACAGAGAAGUAGCUGCAUUAUCAUGCAAGAUUCCCCAAACAAAUCUCAAGAAAAAUCUGGACACAUCAUAAUACAUUACUACAUAAUACAUGACUACACAACUAUAGUAAUUAAAAUAGUAUGUUGUUGCUAU
ensembl:misc_RNA 7SK 7SK RNA